rnacentral:snoRNA from 1 species
AACCCAUGGUGAGGACACCUUCUUAAUGAGUCCUUAUACCUCUCCCAUGCAUCAUAUAGAGUCUCUAAGUCCAUUUGCACAAAGGAAGAGAUAUCAUUUUUCAACUU